UACAGAGGUCCCAAGCGUUGUUCGGAUUCACUGGGCGUAAAGGGUGCGUAGGUGGUGAGGUAAGUCCGAUGUGAAAUCUCGGAGCUCAACUCCGAAACUGCAUUGGAAACUACCUCGCUCGAGGGUUGGAGGGGGGACUGGAAUACUUGGUGUAGCAGUGAAAUGCGUAGAUAUCAAGUGGAACACCAGUGGCGAAGGCGAGUCCCUGGACAACUCCUGACACUGAGGCACGAAAGCUAGGGGAGCAAACAGG
rnacentral:rRNA from 1 species